CCUUUUCCAGCCUCUCCCAGCAAUGACAUCGCUGGAUAGUUUUCUUGGGGCUGGAUCAGAGGACGUUGCAGCCGAGCCCACUCUUAGGGGCCAGAUCCCUGUAUCAGACUUGUACUAAUUACCAUAUGUGGUUUUGAUGUAUCGCCAAGAAUGGGUUUCAGAAGAAGAAGAAAAAAAUAUGCAUAUCAGUAAAGCCGGAAUCCCCAAGGUCAUAAGAGAAGUGGGUGGAACUCAAAUGGGCUCCAGAGCCAAGCCUGGGAAUCUUGACAAUGACUCCAAGUACAAGAAAUUUUUGGAUUAUCUCAAUAGAUGCAGAAAAAGCCUUUGAUAAAAUACAACACCCAUUCCUAUUAAAAACACUAGAAAGCAUAGGAAUAGAAGGGUCAUUCCU
rnacentral:lncRNA from 1 species